AAGUCGUAACAAGGUUUCCGUAGGUGAACCUGCGGAAGGAUCAUUACUGAGCUCAUGCCCUCACGGGCAGAUCUCCACCCUUGAAUAUGUUACCUUUGUUGCUUUGGCGGGCCGCUUCGGCUACCGGCUUCGGCUGGUGAGUGCCCGCCAGAGGACCCUAAACCCUGAAUUACAGUGUCGUCUGAGUACUAUACAAUAGUUAAAACUUUCAACAACGGAUCUCUUGGUUCUGGCAUCGAUGAAGAACGCAGCGAAAUGCGAUAAGUAAUGUGAAUUGCAGAAUUCAGUGAAUCAUCGAAUCUUUGAACGCACAUUGCGCCCCUUGGUAUUCCGGGGGGCAUGCCUGUUCGAGCGUCAUUAUAACCCUCAAGCCUAGCUUGGUGUUGGGGCAUGCCUCCGGGCAGCUCUUAAAAUCAGUGGCAGUGCCUUCCGGCCCUAAGCGUAGUAACUUCUCUCGCUAUAGGGUCCGGAGGUCCGCUCGCCAGAACCCCUAAUUUUCUAUGGUUGACCUCGGAUCAGGUAGGGAUACCCGCUGAACUUAAGCAUAUCAAUAAGCGGAGGAAAAGAAACCAACAGGGAUUGCCUCAGUAACGGCGAGUGAAGCGGCAACAGCUCAAAUUUGAAAUCUGGCUCUUUUAGGGUCCGAGUUGUAAUUUGUAGAAGAUGCUUUGGGUGUGGCUCCGGUCUAAGUUCCUUGGAACAGGACGUCAUAGAGGGUGAGAAUCCCGUAUGUGACUGGUCGCCUUCGCCCGUGUAAAGCUCAUUCGACGAGUCGAGUUGUUUGGGAAUGCAGCUCAAAAUGGGUGGUAUAUUUCAUCUAAAGCUAAAUAUUGGCCAGAGACCGAUAGCGCACAAGUAGAGUGAUCGAAAGAUGAAAAGCACUUUGGAAAGAGAGUUAAACAGUACGUGAAAUUGUUGAAAGGGAAGCGCUUGCAAUCAGACUUGCGCGCGGUUGAUCAUCCGGUGUUCUCACCGGUGCACUCUGCCGCGCUCAGGCCAGCAUCGGUUUCGGUGGUUGGGUAAAGGCCUUGGGAAUGUAGCUCCUCUCGGGGAGUGUUAUAGCCCUCGGUGCAAUGCAGCCUACCGGGACCGAGGACCGCGCUUUGGCUAGGAUGCUGGCGUAAUGGUUGUAAGCGACC
rnacentral:rRNA from 1 species